CCCGGCAAUGGGAAGCUCACUCUGAUGAUCGCUGGUCGGCUCCUCUCACUCGCAGCCAUCUCUCUCUCCGCCACCCGUCCUCAUUUGCCCCCGAACACUGUGACACCAUCUGCUGCGCACGCACCCUUUCUCAAUGGCCGAAGCGAAGAGGGGGAUGGGAAGGUACGGUCUCUUCGCUUGUCGCAGUUAUUAAUUUUACAAUUCUAGACUAGAUUCGACGUUGGCAAUAGUUGAUGCCUGUUUUUUUGUCAGCAUCUAUUUUCCUUCUAAGUUUCUAUUAGGGAGAAUUGCCCCACGUCUGUUUUUAGGACCAACGAUGUCAUAAGAAUAUAACAUGACACCACUUACAAUCUGUAGGGCAGUGCUUAAUAUGUAGUUUGUUACAAAUAAUUUAAAAUUAGAAGGAAAUUAAAAAAGAAAACAAGUUCCUCUUCAUUUUACCUUGUGCCAAUAUGCUACUACAAUAUUUAGCUUAACAUGCUGAACAGUAUGAGUUUCAGACUUUCAAAAGCAGAUAGUUGAUAGGUUGUAUCAGGGGCUCAGCUAAUGGUUGCUUUCCCCUAGUUUCUCCAUAUCUAAACAUAGAAUAUUUGAUCCCGUACUUUUUCAGUUGACUCUGGUAGGCUGGUUAUUUGACAGUACCCCAAUCCUUGCGUUUGCCUUUCCUGGCAUGAUUGAUAAUGAAAAACCCUACUUUUUGGCUGUCUGGGUGCUCUGAUCACAUUGUGGUCCUCUGCUCCUGUACCAAGUCUAAUAUUGCCCUAGAUCUCAUAUGUCAUUCCCACUCGUAGCAUCCUGUUAUGAGGGAUGCAUGUUAUCUUCUCUGGUUGACUGAAGUUCUUCCUCAUGAAACUGCAAGCGUAGCCAACUAUUAUCUUCUUCAAUAAAUCUGCAUUUGGUCCUGCCACCACAUUAGGAUGUAUCAAUAUGAAGAGUUCACAAACAUCUAAGACCAACAACACUACAUGUCAAAUUCUCUCUUAUUGAAUUUACUUAAUAGCAUCUUACUUACACUAUCAAAAGAUGGGUGUCCCAGUCUGCGAUGGUGCAACAAAAUAUCUUCACACCUUCCUCUAUUGCCAGAGCUGUAUCUUCUUGGCUGAUGUACCACAACCCAUUACGUCUGACUCUAGUCUCAAUCCUCUUCCCAGUCCUCUUCUCCUGAAAGAUACAUGAGUGCUCAUCAAAUAAGAUUGUGCAAUUGAAUUGGUCAACAAUGAAGCCAACAGAAAGGAGAUUAACAGGAAAUGCAGGGACAUGAAGAACAAAAGGUAAUGUAAGAUGUGGCGUGAAUCUAACUAACUCUACACCUCUAAUAGGCUGAGAAGUUCCAUCAGCAGUUUGGAUUGUUUCUAAAUGAGUCUAUGGGUUAUAGGAUGCAAAAGGAUUGAAUGAGCAUGUCACAUGUUUAGACGCACCUGAAUCUAUAAUCCAAUUUAAAUGAGGAUCAUAUGAUGAUGCAAGUGUCUGUGCUUGAAUACCUUUGCGCACAUGGGUAUAGUUGGCAAAGUUACCAAAAUGAAUGGCAGUUGCUGCAAUAGGACCCUGUGAGGAGGUGCUUGUGGAGUUCUUAGAAGUAUUUCUCUCUUGCCACUGCUCCCACUGCAUGAUUUGUUCCCCUGUCAGUAUGAUAGAUGGACCCUCCUCUGCCACAACAAUAUUAGCCCUAGAGCCUCCUUGAGCCCUGCCUCGACCUCCUCUACUAGCACCAUAACCAACAUGGCUUCCAUGGGUGCUGAUCCGUCUACCAUUAUAGUUCUUUGGUCUACGGCAAUUAUAACUCAAAUGCCGUUUGUCUCCACAAUUGUAAGAUUCCCUAUUGUCAGCUAUGGUGUAGGCUGAUCUAACAGGAGUGUUACUACCGAUCACCGCAACCUAAUUUCUUCUUGGACUAUGGCUGAAAUAGCAUCCUCCAAGGUAGGAAGACUAUCCUGGUGACAAAAAACAGCCCUUCUACUCUCAAAUUCAUAGUUCAAUCCUUUGAGGAACUGGGUCACUCCUGUCCUCUGCCCAUUUUUGGACAGCUUGAGCAUCAUUGGGAGUCUCCAUUUGAAGUGGGGCAUAGUGAUCUAACUCAACCCCCACAAGUAUUUGAGUUCAUUAGCAUACUCCUCAAUUGUCCUCCCUGUUUUAUUUUAUCCGCCUUGCCUUAAAUCUCUACCAUCAUCGUCGCCAUCACAUUCCCUUUACCAGUGUGAAGCGGCUGAGAACGAUGGUGAACAGUUGACUUCAUUUGCCGUAGUUGUGAACUUGAGUGUCGAGAGUGUACGACACCAGCGACUUGAUGUUGACACUGUGAAUGGCUUGGGAGAGAGGAAGUACUGUGGUUGAAGAAGCUGCAGUGGUGUCGCCAAGUACGGGGGAGGAAUGAGUGCUGAAAGCCGGCAACGGUGGCAUGCCAAGUAGAGGGGAGGAACUGUUGUGAAGAGCGGCGGUGGUGAGUGGUGACGCUGUGGACUGAGCUAUGCGUAUCGCUCAUGAUGAGAAAAGGUGCGAUCUCAGGAUCUUCUAGCUGGUACCAUGCAAGAACUAGAAGAGGAGAAUAUCUGUUCUCUGUAUUCAUAUGUAGUUUACGAAUUACAAAAUAUAUAGGCACGCUAGAUUAUAAGAGAUAAGCACAGGUAAAGUGAUCCUAGAAAACUGGGCACGCAGGCCCGAAGACUCGGACGAACAGGCAUGAAACGAGGAUCUAGCCAACUGACUUUGUACAACGUUUAGCAAUAUUGACAAUUCAAAAAUACCCAUGCAUCAGGCAAAUGAAGGACCUGUUGUUUGAUUGAAUUUGAGUAGCUGGAGAAACACACCUCGGCUGCAUGUGUUGGUCCGCCAGGAAUCUUUCCAACCUCCCUAUGCAGUGAACUUUGCUUUCCUACUUGUUGAAGUUGGAGAUUCAUUUAUGCAAGUUUGAAUUUGCAUUCCCAUUAUGUAAACAGUCGUGAUAUUAGUACAGUGUGUAACGGCCAAACUGCCAACAAUAUUGACUUGGAAACUUCAAUACUACGGACAGCUAUUGCUGGAAUGAAAACAUGGGGGAGCCGAAGUGUUCUUUCGUCACUCGGUGGUUUUAACUCCCUUUCGUGCUGUCCUGCAGGCCUGCACCACGGACUUUGACCAUUCUUUAUUGCGCAGGAUCCGUGCAGAGAAAAGUCUUCGUGAUAAUGGCUUCUAGCCUUCUGGAAUAUUUACCACCUGCGGCCAAGCGUGUGAAAAUUGCUCGGAAAGAUUGGCAAGCUGAAUGACCGAAGGGGAUAAGAUCAUUGACCGUGUGCGCAAGUGAGUUGAACUUUCAAAGUUUUUUAAUCUUUUAUUUUUACUACGUGCAGCGUGGCCAGUGGAUUGAGAAGUAGUAAACGCGUAAGAUUAAUUCUGCUGAUUUACUUUCUCUAGGUCUGGUUGCUCUCUCAGGUGUCCCUAUCAGGGCUUAGAAAGGACGUGUUUGGACUUGGACGAACUCAAGGAGAACUACAUAAUGACGAUUUAGUGACGGGGUUUUUUUAAGAAGGGUUUAGUGAUGACUUGUUACAUGCAGCUUUCGGCUCCAGGACUUGGGUUUGGUAAGCUGUUUCUCUGUUAAGUCUGCUAUUGGGGGUACAGAUCCAAUGCACCGAAUGAUCAACAGAACCAUAAACGUCGGGCUGGUUUGGUAACUUAGCCAGACCUGUGGGCAGCCCAUCCCCUGAGGCGUUUUAUUGGGCCUCACCUUUUUUUCCCCCAGAUUAUUUUGGCGUCGGUUUUCAUACGCCAACAUAAAUGGAGCGUCAAUUCCAGCAUUUGUUUCAGCUCUUUGGUCCGAUUCCUCUUUUGACUCUGAUGUUUUUCCUUUGCACGAGACGUGGUUUCUACUUCUCUAAACAUCAUGAUUUGUUUCUAUUUGCGAAUUUGGACACCGUAAACUAUGACUGAGCUCACCUCGAGACGAGAGAGCAAAGUAUAGUUGGAGAGAUUGUCUGAUAUGCGUUUGUUGUCUAUGGACGUCGCUCUCAGUGUCACCAUUCACCACACGGUGGAAUGUGUGUAUAACUUCGGAUUAAAGUCGACUGCUAUAGCUGUAUAAAAAUACUGAAGA
rnacentral:lncRNA from 1 species